AGCCAUCGUGUGACAUAAAAGAUCCUUUUGUCAUAAAAGCUUUGUAAGUUUUGAAAAAUAUAUAGAAGCGAAAGACUAAAAUUAAAAGAAUAUUUUAAUAUUUAAAGAUCAUUUUUUAUUAAGUUGAACAAUUUUAAAGGUUUUCUAAUAAUUAAUAUAAAUUUUAUUUCUCAUAUAACUCAUAUAACUCUUCCAUAGAGCCCAUGCAAUAAUUUUGGUAUUUAAAAUCAUGUCAAAUUGAGGCAUGUACCUAGUUUUAAUUGUUGGAAACAUGAAAGGAUAAAAGAAGGGGGAGA
rnacentral:lncRNA from 1 species